AGGGAUGUGGCUCAGUGGUAAAGCACUUGCUUGGCAUGCAUGAGACCCUGGGUUUUAUCCCCAAUCCUG
rfam:Ictidomys tridecemlineatus contig099214, whole genome shotgun sequence.